UACGGGUGACAAAAACUCGUGACAUAAUUUUCUUAUACACGGAUUAAUGGGGUAUUUAAACUAAAGAGUUAUAAUCACCCAUAUUCUAUGAUCAAAGGAUAAUUCUCCUAAUAUGAACAAGCAAAUGAACUAAUUUAUUCCACAAAUUCUUAAAUGAAAUGCAAUUCUAAAUGAUAUGAUUAACACAUAUGGAGGAUAGGGAGAUAAUAGAUAAUAGGGAAUAUCAUGCAAAUGGGAAAAGAUCUUAGUAUAAAAAUAUGCAUGAAAAUGUAAUGAAUAUCAUACAAAUGAAUGUAAUGCGUGAACGAUCAAAGGGUCUAGCAUUGGACUAACCCAUUUCUAAAGAUCUUUACUAGCAUUGGACUAGCAAGUAAAUAGAGGGAGAAGCCACAACUAGCGUUGGACUAGUGUGUUGACGUUAUGCAUUAACAAUACAUAGUAAACAAAUAAAGUAUAAAUUAAAAUAAAUAAACACAUAAGAGCACGUAACACAUAACAUGUAAGCAUAAUAUCUAGAUGCAAAUAUCCUUAGAAAAGCAGUAACACAUACCAAGUAAGCAUGCAAAUCACAACAAGCAAAUAAGGCAAACAAGCCCUAAUUAUUACAUUAGGGGGAGGGCCUACUACAAUCUAAAAUGGGAAAUAAAAUAAAUAGUUAAAAUAAAUACCUAACUAUUACAAUUGUGACAUUUAAUUGCC
rnacentral:lncRNA from 1 species